rnacentral:rRNA from 1 species
CCUACGGGAGGCAGCAGUGGGGAAUAUUGCACAAUGGGGGAAACCCUGAUGCAGCGACGCCGCGUGAGCGAUGAAGUAUUUCGGUAUGUAAAGCUCUAUCAGCAGGGAAGAAAAUGACGGUACUUGACGAAGAAGCCCCGGCUAACUACGUGCCAGCAGCCGCGGUAAUACGUAGGGGGCAAGCGUUAUCCGGAUUUACUGGGUGUAAAGGGAGCGUAGGCGGCGAUGCAAGCCAGAUGUGAAAGGCCGGGGCUUAACCCCGGGACUGCAUUUGAAACUGGAGAGCUGGAGUGUAGGAGAGGCAGGCGGAAUUCCUGGUGUAGCGGUGAAAUGCGUAGAUAUUAGGAGGAACACCAGGGGCGAAGGCGGCCUGCUGGACGAUGACUGACGUUGAGGCACGAAAGCGUGGGGAGCAAACAGGAUUAGAUACCCCGGUAGUC